AGACAGCAGCAGCCGCGGUAAUACGAAGGGGGCUAGCGUUGUUCGGAAUUACUGGGCGUAAAGCUCACGUAGGCGGACAUUUAAGUCAGGGGUGAAAUCCCGGGGCUCAACCCCGGAACUGCCUUUGAUACUGGGUGUCUAGAGUAUGGAAGAGGUGAGUGGAAUUCCGAGUGUAGAGGUGAAAUUUGUAGAUAUUCGGAGGAACACCAGUGGCGAAGGCGGCUCACUGGUCCAUUACUGACGCUGAGGUGCGAAAGCGUGGGGAGCAAACAGGAUUAGAUACCCCAGUAGUCCCUGUCUCUUAUAC
rnacentral:rRNA from 1 species